rnacentral:rRNA from 1 species
CGUGUAGGCGGUGUGGUAUGUCAGAUGUGAAAGCCCUGGGCUUAACCCAGGAAGUGCAUUUGAAACUGCCAUGCUUGAGUAUGGGAGAGGAGAGUGGAAUUCCCAGUGUAGAGGUGAAAUUCGUAGAUAUUGGGAGGAACACCCGUGGCGAAGGCGACUCUCUGGACCAAUACUGACGCUGAGGCGCGAAAGCGUGGGGAGCAAACA